rnacentral:rRNA from 1 species
GUAGUUAGCCGGGGCUUCCUCCUUGAGUACCGUCACUUCCUUCUUCCUCAAGGACAGAGGUUUACAAUCCGAGAACCUUCUUCCCUCACGCGGCGUUGCUGGGUCAGGCUUUCGCCCAUUGCCCAAUAUUCCCCACUGCUGCCUCCCGUAGGAGUCUGGGCCGUGUCUCAGUCCCAGUGUGGCCGAUCACCCUCUCAGGUCGGCUACCCAUCGUUGACUUGGUGGGCCGUUACCUCACCAACUAUCUAAUGGGACGCGAGCUCACCCCUCACCGGAUUUCUCCUUUGACCCCUUCGUCAUGUGACGUUGUGGUCUUAUGCGGUAUUAGCACCUGUUUCCAAGUGUUAUCCCCCUGUGAAGGACAGAUUGCUCACGCGUUACUCACCCGUCCGCCGCUAAAACAGAAACCGAAGUCCCUGUCUCCGCUCGACUUGCAUGUGUUAGGCACGCCGCCAGCGUUCGUCCUGAGCCAGGAUCAAACUCUGA